rnacentral:rRNA from 1 species
AUUGAACGCUGGCGGCAGGCUUAACACAUGCAAGUCGAGCGGGGUGAUGGUGCUUGCACUAUCACUUAGCGGCGGACGGGUGAGUAAUGCUUAGGAAUCUGCCUAUUAGUGGGGGACAACAUCUCGAAAGGGAUGCUAAUACCGCAUACGUCCUACGGGAGAAAGCAGGGGAUCACUUGUGACCUUGCGCUAAUAGAUGAGCCUAAGUCGGAUUAGCUAGUUGGUGGGGUAAAGGCCUACCAAGGCGACGAUCUGUAGCGGGUCUGAGAGGAUGAUCCGCCACACUGGGACUGAGACACGGCCCAGACUCCUACGGGAGGCAGCAGUGGGGAAUAUUGGACAAUGGGGGGAACCCUGAUCCAGCCAUGCCGCGUGUGUGAAGAAGGCCUUAUGGUUGUAAAGCACUUUAAGCGAGGAGGAGGCUCUUUUGGCUAACACCCAAGAUGAGUGGACGUUACUUGCAGAAUAAGCACCGGCUAACUCUGUGCCAGCCGCCGCGGUAA